UACAUAGGUCCCAAGCGUUAUCCGGAUUUACUGGGCGUAAAGAGUCCGUAGUCGGUUUAAUAAGUCUACUUUCAAAUACCGGAGCUCAACUCCGGAAAGGGAGUGGAUACUGUUUGACUAGAGAAAUGUAGAGGUUAGUAGAAUUUCAGGUGGAGGGGUGAUAUCCGUUGAUAUCUGAAGGAAUACCAAAAGCGAAGGCAGCUAACUAUACAUCUUCUGACGUUGAUGGACGAAAGCAUGGGUAGCAAACGGG
rnacentral:misc_RNA from 1 species